UGGAAAAAUCUUAUGAUCUGCAACCACCUGCAUCGUGAUAUGAUAAAAUGGGAAAAGAUAGGGAUGGUAGAAACAUUUUUUCUCUUAAUAAAACUUGGCUUUCAAGUUAUUUAUCUAUUUGCAGAAUAAAACAUUCUAUUUAGAAUGUAGUAGGCUGAACAUUAACUCUUUCUUUCCCUUUUUCUUUACAGUCUUGCUGUAACAAUUCUAAUCCCCACACACGGAAGGUGGAUGUCUCCAGGUGACAAAGGAGGUCAUAAACAGGAAGAUGCCAACUUUAUCUCCCUUUAAGAAUAAGGUAUUAGUUUCAAGGACUACUCAAUUUAAAGUAACCUUGUGAAGAUAAAGUCUCCCAUGACUGAUGCUGGUUGGGUAAGGAAAAAAAAAAUGUAGGUUGAUUUUAUACUUGGAGUACAGAUCUUCGAAGGGGAAAGGGGCUACUUUUUAAAACUGCAGCCUGAUCAAUUGUUUGAAAAGUUGCUUAAAAAUAGUCUUAGCCUACAUUACUCCUCUGAUUCUUAUCUAUGGAAAUGGGAAAGUGUGUAUACGUCAGCUACUUGUUUCUUUUAAGUACUUAUCUUCAUUUUUCUCUUGAAAUAAAUAUUAAUAAUAGAAAAUUAUUAAAUUGCCAUUUUAAUGUUUUAUAUGAAAUGUCUGAUAUGUGUAUUAGCAAUGAAGAUGUAUGCCUCAAAUAGGAACAAACAAUUCAUUAAACCAAAUUUUAAAUUUAA